rnacentral:rRNA from 1 species
CAGUUAUGACUGAGGGCUGCAACUCGCCCUCACGAAUAUGGAAUCCCUAGUAACUGCGCGUCACUACCGCGCGGUGAAUACGUCCCUGCUCCUUGCACACACCGCCCGUCGUUUCAUUGAAGUUGGCUUUUAGCGAGGUGACGUCUUGUUGGCGUUAUCGAACUUGAGGUCAGCAACAAGGGAAAAGUCGUAACAAGGUGACCGUAGGGGAACCUGCGGUCGGAUCACCUCCUUAG